rnacentral:rRNA from 1 species
CCUACGGGAGGCAGCAGUGAGGAAUAUUGGUCAAUGGACGAGAGUCUGAACCAGCCAAGUAGCGUGCAGGAUGACUGCCCUAUGGGUUGUAAACUUCUUUUAUAAAGGAAUAAAACGCGGCACGUGUGCCUUUUUGCAUGUACUUUAUGAAUAAGGACCGGCUAAUUCCGUGCCAGCAGCCGCGGUAAUACGGAGGAUCCGAGCGUUAUCCGGAUUUAUUGGGUUUAAAGGGAGCGUAGAUGGGAUGUUAAGCCAGUUGUGAAAGUUUGUGGCUCAACCGUAGAACUGCAAUGGAUACUGGCAUUCUUGAGUACGGGUAAGGUAGGCGGAAUUCGUGGUGUAGCGGUGAAAUGCUUAGAUAUCACGAAGAACCCCGAUUGCGAAGGCAGCAUACGAAAGCGUGACUGACGCUGAUGCGCGAAAGCGUGGGUAGCAAACAGGAUUAGAUACCCGAGUAGUC